CCUCUGUCCCCACAUGGAGCACCCCUGUGUCCCAGUGAGGGACACCCCCAGCCCCUGCAUCUCCAGCUGUCGGGCUCCGGGGCACCCGGGAUCCACAGCGUGGGGACACACAGGGGUCGAAUCCUGCCAUCCCCUGACACAGCCCAACAGCAGCUCCUGGGCAGGGACACGACCAGCACAAACUUCAGCAUCCGCAGGCUCCGGGGGCUCAGCUCUCCGGCAGGGAUGGUGCCCCGGGGUUGUGGAAACGAAGCAAGAGUAAUGCAGCUGCUCUGAGUACAACAAGCUGGUGUGACCUCUUGGCAGGAAAUCCAGGGAAAACCAGCAGCAGUUCUUCUAGAUCCAUACCAGAGCACUGGAAAUAAGCUCUUCUGAGGGGCUGGAGCAUGAAGUCUGUGCUGCUGGGAGUGCAGGGGGUUUGAGAUACACCAGCGAUGGAGAAUCUUGCUAUAAAUAAAAUCAGCCCAGU